ACCACUGUGAAAUGGUGGCCUAGUGGUUAAUGCACCUGCCUAGCAAGCAGGAGACCCAGGUUCGAUUCCUGGCCUUGGUA